ACGGUAACAGGUCCAGCAAUGGAUGCUGACGAGUGGCGCACGGGUGCGUAACACGUAUGCAACCUACCCUUAACCGGGACAUAACCCUUAGAAAUGGGGGCUAAUAUCCCAUGGUAUUAUGAUAAGGCAUCUUAUUAUAAUUAAAGAUUAAUUGGUUAAGGAUGGGCAUGCGUCCCAUUAGUUAGUUGGAGAGGUAACGGCUCACCAAGACUGUGAUGGGUAGGGGUCCUGAGAGGGUUAUCCCCCACACUGGUACUGAGACACGGACCAGACUCCUACGGGAGGCAGCAGUAAGGAAUAUUGGGCAAUGGAGGCAACUCUGACCCAGCCAUGCCGCGUGCAGGAAGACGGCCCUAUGGGUUGUAAACUGCUUUUAUACGGGAAUAAUUCCAUUUACGAGUUAGGUGGUUGCAAGUACCGUAAGAAUAAGCAUCGGCUAACUCCGUGCCAGCAGCCGCGGUAAUACGGAGGAUCCGAGCGUUAUCCGGAUUUACUGGGUUUAAAGGGUGCGUAGGCGGGCGCCUAAGUCAGCGGUGAAAUGCGGGGGCUCAACCCUCGAGCUGCCGUUGAUACUGGGGGCCUUGAAUCCGGUCGAGGCCGGCGGAAUGCGUGGUGUAGCGGUGAAAUGCUUAGAUAUCACGCGGAACGCCGAUUGCGAAGGCAGCUGGCCGGGCCUGGAUUGACGCUGAGGCACGAAAGCGUGGGGAUCAAACAGGAUUAGAUACCCUGGUAGUCCACGCCGUAAACGAUGAUCACUGGAUGCUGGCGAUACACAGUCAGCGUCUGAGCGAAAGCAUUAAGUGAUCCACCUGGGGAGUACGACCGCAAGGUUGAAACUCAAAGGAAUUGACGGGGGCCCGCACAAGCGGAGGAACAUGUGGUUUAAUUCGAUGAUACGCGAGGAACCUUACCUGGGCUAGAACGCCGGGCGCAUGGGGGGGGAAACCCCCCCAGCCAGCGAUUGGCGGCCGGCCAAGGUGCUU
rnacentral:rRNA from 1 species